AAACGCAGCAAAUUCCCUGGCACGGCCUGCGCAGGUCGUUGUGGGUGCAGAUAAAUCACCCGGCGUUUGAAUGGCAUCGGUGACAGAGUGCUCCGCGGGGAGAGGUUGGGUCCGCCCAGGUGUUUGGCAGAUGCUGCUCAGCUCCCCGGCUCGAGAAGUCCCCGGAUUCUGCAGUGGCUCGCGCUCUCGCGCAGCAAGGAGCUUUCUGCCCCGAGCCUCCAGUCACGUAGAGGCUCCAGCGAGUUCAAGGAUAAGGGGGCGGACGCCGUUCAGGUAUUACUCAUUUGCCGGGAGCUCGAGAGUCAAGUACGCUCAUUUAGCAACAACUGUCCUGGUUAUAACCAGAGCGAACGUGGCACGCUCUCGGCCUGGAUCGCUUUUGAUGCCCGUUUGUCUCUGAAAGGCGUAUCCCGUAUUCCCGCAGGCACCCACUGCCAGACCCGAUUUCAUCAGGCCGGGUAGGGCUGCUCGAAGCCCUGGGGCAGGAAAGCAGAAGGGAGGAAGCUAUUUCCAAAAGGGAGAGCCAAGGGUGGUAUCUCCAGCGGGGUAAAAAGCGCCUCCUUUUCCCUCCUUCCAUCCUCACGCCGUUCCCUGCCUCCUGCGCCUGCCGAGCUCCACGGCGCAUCGAGCAUCCCCCUUGGAGGUGUCACCGACCCUCCUGCGUCACUCGGCCCUCGCCCGUGGAGCUGACUCCCGCUGAGCUUCCGCGCUUCCUGCUGUGCUAGAUCCGCAGAGAAGGAGGACCAGCAGCCGCAUCGGCAGUCCCUGCAGCGAGGCCGAUGGGCGUACACGCACGUCUGCCGGCAGUGCUGCGUAACUGCGCUUACACGCUGAUAAGCCAACAGCUGAGAGACCCAUGCGCGGGCAGCAGCCGGACCGAGAGCCGACGCUCAGUUGCUCGGGAGCGCGGAUUACCUGCCUGCCCAAGCAAGCCGUAGGCUUUGAAGGAAUUGCCACUGCUACCGAUGCAUCUCUCGGGAAGGUGAAGCUAGCAGUUGCCAGCCGCGGCGGAAAGCUACUGGUGGGAAGGGAGGCUUGGCAAGGCACAGGAAUACUUAUCUGCCUCUGACUGUGAGUAGCAUCUAUGUUUUAAUUCUACUUGAAGCUGCAGACUGCAAAUUCUUACCGACACAGCACAGAAUAAGUGAUUGCAUAGAUUCAUUUGCAAAUCUAAAAACAAAUGCGCCAUUUUAAUUUUCUGCUGCCUCAUUAUAUUUUUGUAAAUGUUAGUCCACUUCGACGUGUCUGCAACCUUCCCCCCUCCUCUCCCCUUUUCUUCUAUAACUAUGAGGCUGAGUACAGGCUUGAUUAGUACAUUAACCAACUGAAGUCGCUGUUUUAUGAAGUCAUUUUGGCUCUGUUCCUUCUCUGUAGCUGUUGCGUGGUUGCUGUCAGAACUGAGAGCAUGAACAGUACAAGGCUGAUUAAAGUGCCCCCUAAUCUUUUGUGUGCAUGCAUGCAGCUUCUAUUUUGUUAAAAGGCUUUAGCCAACAUUUACUUUAGCAGUUUCCCGCACAUAUUUCAGGUGCAAAAUUUAAUGAAGUAACAAAAGGGACCCAGCAAAGCUAUGUCACUUGAGAACGUGACAGUUCUUGACUGUAACUCAUUCUCAGGGAGAGACCCUCUGCUUUUGAUGAGAGCCUUGUAGUGAGGAAAACUGGGCAAAUGUUUGCAGACACUGAACUGCAUGAACUUUAAAUUAGAACGUGGUUUCAAGUCAGCAUGCAAAUCUUGGUUAUAAUUCCUCCUCUACUUCCCUGUUUCUCCUGUUUGAACAGGAUUGCCCUGAUACCAUCUCUUUUUUCUUUCUUCACUGGCUUCUCUUGCCCUCAUGUUUCUGGAUGCAGUUAAAGGACAGAAAGCAGGGAAAAAACCCCAAGAACAUUCACAAUUGUGAGAAGUAAGAAGGGCCAGAGGUAAAACAACGUCACAUUUGUGUCCAGUUCCUGGAAAGCCUUGGUGCCCAGGUCUGUGCCUUGAACCAUUAUUAUAGAUACGUGUGCAACGGGGAGCGUAAAGCACCGCCUUGUAGUGGUGCAAGUGACUGCAAAUGUUGCAGGGCAAAGUAAACCAGCACACACAUACGCGCACACACACACACCCAGUUAAAGCUUCCUGAGCAGGAAGUCUGAGGCUAAAUAGACCUGAUGAUAUUUAGCAGUGGUGAGAAAGGUCAUUUUAUUGUGCGCUAUAAAAACAUGAAAUUCCGUGCCUUAGUGUUUGCCUCUGGUAAUUAUGCUGUUCUGUUAAUAAUUCACUAGAUGCAUUAUCUAGUUCCCAUUUUAGAGCACAGGAGUUAGGGUGUUACCACUAGUUCCUGCUUCCAACAGUGGCUUUCAGCUUACAAUUUGGUACAUGGUUUUUUUAUUUUUUAUCAGAAAUUGGUUUCUGACGUGGUCACUUGCAAAUCUCAGGGGAAUUGGAUUAGCUCAUUUUAAGAAGAACCUUUUUCUUCCCCCCCCCCCCCCAAAAAAAAACUGUGACAGGGAAAGCCUAUAACAAUGACUGGCCAUCUUGACAGAGAUGAACAGUCGGAAACAGAUACUAGUUCACGCAGAGGGAACGGUUGCUAGGUGUGACGGUUAGUAGCUAUGAACUUAAUGAGACAUGAGUAGCGCUGUGGAGGAGGCGAGCUCACUGGAAGAAGUGAGUAGGAAAAAAGCGGAGUAAUGCCAAGUUUCCAAAGUUUCAUGCGACUGUUUCAAUUAACCAUUUCUCCUGCAGAAAGAAACCACAGUCCUGCAGUAGCACGGUGCCAUUUCCCUUUCUUUUAAGAGAUUUUUGCUUCUGGUACUUUUUUUUCCUUUUUGGCCCUUUGCAUCUGCACAAAGGAGCAGAACCGGCAUGCGAUAGAAAGGGAGUGGGCACUGGAUCCGGCUUGCUUAGGCCACCCACUUGAACCAGAGCAUCUUUCUCUUGCCUUGGCCCCUGUGCUGACUGCGGCUGGCAGCGACACCCAGGCGAAGCACUGUGUUCUGGGGUACUUCAGGGGCAGGAGGGUGCUGGGGCUGGUACAGACUAGCCCUCAGAAGCAGGAGCCGAAACGGGCUCCCCAGUGCAACCGCUCCUUUCCGUGCCCAGAAACAAUCAGGUCCAGGGAAGAAUUUGUCUCUUGCUCUGCAAGAAUUGAGCUUGGGCUAUUCAAUUCAUUUUGCACAGGCAGGUUCAAAUGGAGACUGCUCUCAGUCGCUGUUAACCAGGGAGCAGGGGGCUUUCAGCUAUACUCUACUUCCUCGGCACCUCCGGCUUAUUUGGAUGUUAAUGUAAAACUGCUCAUGCUGACCAGAUGAGGUCCUUCUGAGGCUAGUGGAAAGAUCAGGGUGUGAUUUAGAGUUGGUUGUGGUGGCAUGUGUUUUAUUUUCUUAAUAAAUAGUUGAGUGCCAGUCCUUGCUUCAUUUGAACAUAACUUGAACAGCCUCCUGAAGAUCCCUUACAAAACCUGGCAGCAGAAUCUGCUGUCCGGGCCAAGCGUAACUGAGGUCCGCAGUAUGAAACCUCAGCUCACUUCAGAGCUGUAUGGCUUGGACUUGUAGGCAGCAUUUGAUACUGACCCAGCCUUUUCUUUGGCACUUUUCUGGAUUAGUGGGCAAUAAUUUUCUGCUAGGUGAGAUGCAAAUUAUUCUUACCACCUAAAGCACUGAAAUGGCCGUAUGUCAGGCAGCUAAUUCUGCUCAUGUAUAUGAAUCAUCGGGGACAUUGCUGACACAAAUUUAUCAUUUGAAAAGCACUAUCCACUGGUGAUAGCUACAGUGAUGUUUUCAACCUAAAGAGAUGCAUGAAAAAAUCACCAGUUCCCAAACACAGUAUUCUUUGAGUAGGCAAAUAUGUCCUUAGCCCGAACAAAAAGCAUUUCUAUACCUAACUCCCCCUGAUUUAAGGAGGAAUGAGACACCUACAUACCUUGAAGGUCUGGCUGUUAUGGCUUAUAGUUGCAAAGAAGGUGAUAAUACGCAAAGCCUAUCUCCCAGUUCAGCGUGUACUUCUUGUGAGGCUGACAAGAUUGCAAGUCAGGAGAUGUGACCCAGACACAAGGAAUGAAAAAAACCCUUUUUACAUGGCUGCUUUUGUGGCCAUAAUAAAUGCAUCCAAGUAACUGGUACCAGGCAUAAGGCUGGAGGAGGGUUUCCUGCUGGUUGUGAUAUUUCCCCCAAAGAAGCAGCUUCUGGGUAUAUUUUUUUUUUUAUUUAAAAAAAAAGAAAAAAGACAGGCAGACCUGAGGAUGCGUAAUUUUUAAGACUGUUGCAUUUCAGAGUCACUUGUCAUUCAGACCAAGACCGAGACCUAUCACUUCCCCUUUUGUUCUCGCUCCCCUGGAAAGUCCUUCUAACAUUGCGCUGUGAUUUGCCAUGACUUUGUGCUCUGCAAUACUAAGAUGGAAAUUCAUGCUCUGGAACCUGAGGUGCAACUGAGAAGCCAACCCCUGCAGUGGGAAAGCUUUGCACAGUGGGCACGGCCCCAAAGAACAGUUGACAGAACAUGCUGAGGGAAGAGGAUGAUGAAGCCUUACACAGAAGUUGCGUGCAGCAGUGUGCGAAGACACAACUCCAGCCGAAGCUGAAUUCAGAUUUCAG